rnacentral:piRNA from 1 species
UGCUCCAAUGUCAUAUAGGUUCUGUGUGCC